AAUGAACGCUGGCGGCAGGCCUAACACAUGCAAGUCGAACGAGUGGCGGACGGGUGAGUAAUGUCUGGGAAACUGCCUGAUGGAGGGGGAUAACUACUGGAAACGGUAGCUACUACCGCAUACCAUCAGAUGUGCCCAGAUGGGAUUAGCUCGUUGGGGGGGUAACGGCUCACCAAGGCGACGAUCCCUAGCUGGUCUGAGCGGAUGACCAGCCACACUGUAACUUAGACACGGCCCAGAUGCCUACGGGAGGCAGCAGUGGGGAAUAUUGCACAAUGGGCGCAAGCCUGAUGCAGACAGGCCGCGUGUAUGAAGAGGGCGUUCGGGUGGUAAAGUACUUUCAUCGGGGAGGCGUUACCCGCAGAAGAAGCACCGGCUAACUCCGUGCCAGCCGCCGCGGUAAUUC
rnacentral:rRNA from 1 species